CAAGAAGGGUGUAGGAGAGAAAGCUUAAAUCUCUUCUGUGCCUUUUCACUUAUAAAGAAAAAUGAACAUGGCAGAAGUGUUCCUGAUUAGAUCCGGAGAAAAAGGAUGAAGUAUUCUUGCUAGAUGAAUCAGGAGAGAUGAUGUUCUGUCAUUCUUUAGAUAUAGACCUGAAAUACGAACUUUAAAUUUAUGGUUGCUGGUAUGAGCCAUGGUUCUCUAUUUACCCAGUUAGCGCAUUUGGGUGAAGCAUGAAGAGUGGGUCUUCCAAUUGGUUACUUUAUCACACUGACGAUUUCAGAUGCUGUAAUCACUCUUACCCCUUAGGAUGGGGGAAAAAAAUGGAUCUCACAAGUCUUCUUAUCAGAUCACCAUAGUUUGAUUCAUCUUCAUGAGAGUUGUCUGCCUGGUUGUUCAUUGCUGCUGUCUACUCAUCUGGACAUUUUCAUAUGAUGCAAACAGUGAUGGCGACUGUGAAUGUCAUCCACAAUUGUCAUACUGAGAGACUAGUCUAGGAUACAUCUUCAAAAGAAGAACGACGACAGUAAGCAAGAGGCAAGUAAACAAAGAAACAAAAUCACAAAUGAUUUAAGACACUUCAGUGGGGGUCCAGAGUUUUUGACAUUUUGCCUGACCUGUGCCUCUCAUUUCUCUGGCCCUGGAGCUGUUAUCAACAUUUAGAACCAUCCAGGAAACCAGGACUCCUUGUCUGGGAGGCUCAUUGCAUUUUAGAGGAGAAAGCAGUCAGCACAGCUCCAGGACACACGCCUUCCCCUUUCCAGUAGGACAGGCAGAGCCUGACCGAAAAGAUGAAAGAUGAAACUCACAGGAAAUGUGAAUGACUUGGCAGAAGUUACUUAGCAAGUUAGUUCCAGAACAAACUAGAUUUCCUCCCAAGAGAAGGGAGACCGUGAUCCGACUUCCGUCUUCUAUGGACCAUGCAUUUGACAUGUGACUUUCCUGGAUUUUCAUAACAGGUCUGCAA